CAGUUCUUAUCAGGCAAAGAGAACUUUAGUCUGACCCCCCGAAACUAGACGAGCUACUCCGAGACAGCCUAAUAGGGCAAACCCGUCUCUGUGGCAAAAGAGUGGGAAGAUCUCCGAGUAGAGGCGACAAACCUAACGAGCCUAGUAAUAGCUGGUUGCUCAGGAAAUGAAUAUUAGUUCAGCCUCAAGGCUUCUACUGUCACCCAGGUCAUCACCAACAAAGACAUCAAGAAAACCUUAAGAGUUAUUCAAGAGAGGUACAGCUCCCUUGAAAAAGAACACAACCUUAACAGGCGGAUAAAGAUCACAUUAAAUCAAAGGACCUUUGUUUCAGUGG
rnacentral:rRNA from 2 species